rnacentral:rRNA from 1 species
GGGUUGUGAGGUUAAGCGACUAAGCGUACACGGUGGAUGCCCUGGCAGUCAGAGGCGAUGAAGGACGUGCUAAUCUGCGAAAAGCGCCGGCGAGGUGAUAUGAACCUUUGACCCGGCGAUGUCCGAAUGGGGAAACCCAGUGUGUUCCGACACACUAUCGUUAACUGAAUACAUAGGUUAACGAGGCGAACCGGGGGAACUGAAACAUCUAAGUACCCCGAGGAAAAGAAAUCAACCGAGAUUCCCCCAGUAGCGGCGAGCGAACGGGGAGCAGCCCAGAGUCUGAAUCAGCUUGUGUGUUAGUGGAAGCGUCUGGAAAGUCGCACGGUACAGGGUGAAAGUCCCGUACACGAAAGCACACAGGUUGUGAACUCGAAGAGUAGGGCGGGACACGUGGUAUCCUGUCUGAAUAUGGGGGGACCAUCCUCCAAGGCUAAAUACUCCUGACUGACCGAUAGUGAACCAGUACCGUGAGGGAAAGGCGAAAAGAACCCCGGCGAGGGGAGUGAAAAAGAACCUGAAACCGUGUACGUACAAGCAGUGGGAGCCUCUUUUAUGGGGUGACUGCGUACCUUUUGUAUAAUG